UGGCCAGACUCCUACGGGAGGCAGCAGUGAGGAAUAUUGGUCAAUGGCCGAGAGGCUGAACCAGCCAAGUCGCGUGAGGGAAGACGGCCCUACGGGUUGUAAACCUCUUUUGUCGGGGAGCAAAAGCCGGACGUGUCCGGCUGUGAGAGUACCCGAAGAAAAAGCAUCGGCUAACUCCGUGCCAGCAGCCGCGGUAAUACGUAGGGCGCGAGCGUUAAUCGGAAUUACUGGGCGUAAAGGGUGUGCAGGCGGCUGAGUAAGACAGAUGUGAAAUCCCCGGGCUUAACCUGGGAACCGCAUAUGUGACUGCUUGGCUAGAGUGCGUCAGAGGGAGGUGGAAUUCCACGUGUAGCAGUGAAAUGCGUAGACAUGUGGAAGAACACCGAUGGCGAAGGCAGCCUCCUGGGACGCAACUGACGCUCAUACACGAAAGCGUGGGGAGCAAACAGGAUUAGAUACCCCGGUA
rnacentral:rRNA from 1 species